UUUUCAAUUAAUUAGUCAAAUUCAUCAUUUUCCCAAUCAAUUAUUUUCCCAUUCUCGUCUUAUUAAAAUAAUGAUUGAUAAAUAACAGUUUGACCACAAUUAUAUCAUCAACCAUAAUGACUUUAAUCAACAAAUUGUGUUUGACCAGAGCACAAAAUUUUACAUUGUCCUUGGUUAAAAGGUUUACCUUGAGAAGUUGAAUUUUAUCAAGUUUCAAAUGAUGCUACAAUCCUGUACAAUUAAUCUUAAUUAAGAGACAACCUAACCUUGAGAUUUACCAAAGUAACAUCAAGUUUGAAAUAAAAGGAAAAAACCAGGAUAAAAACCAACAGAGUAAAGGGUAAAAGUAUCAUCAUCUACAGUGUAAAUGAUCUCUUCCAUCUGAUAACAUAUGUUAUGUGCCUGACAAAGUUUCCAUCUUGAUGGUAAAUGUGAUUCAAAUUACUCUUUAAAUCUACUGUCUACGGUGAAUACAUUUUCUGGUGUUGAAUAAACUUGAAUUUCAACCCAUUUCCAAUGUAAAUACAUUGUCAAGUCGUCUAAUUUAAGGUUUGAUUGGAUAAAAAAUGGAUCUUGAAAAUUACAUCUCAGCAAGGGAAACAUUUUUUCCCAUUUCAAUAUCAAGUUUAAAAGUGACAAGAGUCUCAUGUGAAGACAAGAGACAAAACUUAAUGGGAUUGAAUACAUAAAUUGUUGACAGACCAUAACAAUUAUUAUUUAUUAUUGAUGAUAAUAACUAUGAUACCGUUUUUAAAUAGCAUUUAAUGUGAGUGAAAUGAUACAGUGUACAGUUUAAUUUGAAAGAUUUCUUUGAGUCUUGCUGGUUGUUUGUGUUCAUCCACUUGACAGGUCUUUUAACCAAAGUGUUGUCUGCAUUUCUUAAUGAAUUAAGGCCAUUGUUGAAACAGAACACACACAAAAUGUUGAACUUUCAAUGAAUGAUUCACUAUAUAUAUUGUAUUAAUAAGACAUCAAGAAUGGGUAAAAAAACAUAAAGUGUAAAGUGAAUACCAAUAAUGGUCGAGGCUUUUUCAUUAUUGUUUGGUGUAAUCUCAUUAAGAUGAUCAACUCAUAAGGUGUUAACAAUCAACAGUCAACAUGAUGGCAACACUUGACUAAUGUUAUCCAGUUAUACAAUGGGAAACCAAAGAAGCGAAAUUAACCGGACUUGGACAAUCAAUUUAAAUCAGUCUAAUUGUUGCCAAUAAUAUCAUCUAACCUUCAUUUAUACAAAAAGAUUUGUCGACUUGGAUUGAUUACAGCUGUGAAUAACCAAAUACAAAAUGUACAAUCUCCAAUAAUUGGCUCUGGUUUAUGGUUACCUUGGACUCGACUGUAUUUGUAGCAAUUGUGGCAACUCCAUUCAACUGGUAAAGAACCAAAUUUCAGGGUUAAUUGUGACAAUUGGUUUAUUAAUGUUUAUAUCAAUGUUACAAUUGCUAUUAGUGAAUAACAAAUCAACUAAAAAAUGCAGCUGAUUAAAUGAUUGCUCUCAAAAUAGAGAUAUAAAAAUGUAAACAAGUUUACCCAAUAUUUCUGGUUAUGAGCUUUUCGCCACGCAACUCUUGUUAUUGCUCACUAUUGAUUUAGUAUCCAUAUAAUUGUUCCCAUUUGAACCUUAAUCAUUCAAUUGAACACUUUCAUUGAACCAAAACCUAACCCAAGACCAAAUAACCAGUUUUUCAAUUUUUUUGGGUAACAUCACAACGCUGUUAACAAUGAACAAUUGAUUUCAACCCAAA